rnacentral:ncRNA from 1 species
GUCAAUACUUUGGCGAUAUAGGGGAUCAGUGGCAGGUUGAGGAUCAGUAGAACCAGAUUGCCAAUGAACAUCGACAUGAUCACUGCCCAGAAUAUCUGCGGCUCGUCGAUCAUAAGACGCGGACC